rnacentral:rRNA from 1 species
GACGGAGGAUGCAAGUGUUAUCCGGAAUCACUGGGCGUAAAGCGUCUGUAGGUGGUCAAAUAAGUCAACUGUUAAAUCUUGAGGCUCAACCUCAAAUCGCAGUCGAAACUAUUAGACUAGAGUAUAGUAGGGGUAAAGGGGAGUUUCCAGUGGAGCGGUGAAAUGCGUAGAGAUUGGAAAGAACACCGAUGGCGAAGGCACUUUACUGGGCUAUUACUAACACUCAGAGACGAAAGCUAGGGUAGCAAAUGGG